rnacentral:rRNA from 1 species
AUGAACGCUGGCGGCGUGCUUAACACAUGCAAGUCGAACGGGAAACCUUUUAUUGAAGCUUCGGCAGAUUUAGCUGGUUUCUAGUGGCGGACGGGUGAGUAACGCGUGGGUAACCUGCCUUAUACAGGGGGAUAACAGUCAGAAAUGGCUGCUAAUACCGCAUAAGCGCACAGAGCUGCAUGGCUCAGUGUGAAAAACUCCGGUGGUAUAAGAUGGACCCGCGUUGGAUUAGCUGGUUGGUGGGGUAACGGCCCACCAAGGCGACGAUCCAUAGCCGGCCUGAGAGGGUGAACGGCCACAUUGGGACUGAGACACGGCCUAGACUCCUACGGGAAGCAGCAGUGGGGAAUAUUGCACAAUGGGGGAAACCCUGAUGCAGCGACGCCGCGUGAAGGAAGAAGUAUCUCGGUAUGUAAACUUCUAUCAGCAGGGGAGAUAAUGACGGUACCUGACUAAGAAGCCCCGGCUAACUACGUG